AACGAACGCUGGCGGCAUGCCUAACACAUGCAAGUCGAACGAGACCUUCGGGUCUAGUGGCGCACGGGUGCGUAACGCGUGGGAACCUGCCCUUAGGUUCGGAAUAACUCCCCGAAAGGGGUGCUAAUACCGGAUAAUGUCUUCGGACCAAAGAUUUAUCGCCUUUGGAUGGGCCCGCGUUGGAUUAGCUAGUUGGUAGGGUAAAAGCCUACCAAGGCGACGAUCCAUAGCUGGUCUGAGAGGAUGAUCAGCCACACUGGGACUGAGACACGGCCCAGACUCCUACGGGCGGCAGCAGUGGGGAAUAUUGGACAAUGGGCGAAAGCAUGAUCCAGCAAUGCGGCGUGAGUGAUGAAGGUCUUAGGGUUGUAAAGCUCUUUUAGCCGGGAUGAUAAUGACAGUACCGGGAGAAUAAGCUACGGCUAACUCCGUG
rnacentral:rRNA from 1 species